AACGAACGCUGGCGGCAUGCCUAACACAUGCAAGUCGAACGAGACCUUCGGGUCUAGUGGCGCACGGGUGCGUAACGCGUGGGAACCUGCCCUUAGGUUCGGAAUAACUCCCCGAAAGGGGUGCUAAUACCGGAUAAUGUCUUCGGACCAAAGAUUUAUCGCCCUUGGAUGGGCCCGCGUUGGAUUAGCUAGUUGGUAGGGUAAAAGCCUACCACGGCGAGGAUCCAUAGCUGGUCUGAGAGGAUGAGCAGCCACACUGGGACUGAGACACGGCCCAGACUCCUACGGGAGGCAGGAGUGGGGAAUAUUGGACAAUGGGCGGAAGCCUGAACCAGCAAUGCCGGGUGAGUGAUGAAGGCCUGAGGGUUGUAAAGCUCUUUUACCCGGGAUGAUAAUGACGGUACCGGGAGAAUAAGCUCCGGCUAACUCCGUG
rnacentral:rRNA from 1 species